rnacentral:rRNA from 1 species
CAUGGCUCAGAUUGAACGCUGGCGGCAGGCCUAACACAUGCAAGUCGAACGGUAACAGGAAGCAGCUUGCUGCUUCGCUGACGAGUGGCGGACGGGUGAGUAAUGUCUGGGAAACUGCCUGAUGGAGGGGGAUAACUACUGGAAACGGUGGCUAAUACCGCAUAACGUCGCAAGACCAAAGAGGGGGACCUUCGGGCCUCUUGCCAUCAGAUGUGCCCAGAUGGGAUUAGCUUGUUGGUGAGGUAACGGCUCACCAAGGCGACGAUCCCUAGCUGGUCUGAGAGGAUGACCAGCCACACUGGAACUGAGACACGGUCCAGACUCCUACGGGAGGCAGCAGUGGGGAAUAUUGCACAAUGGGCGCAAGCCUGAUGCAGCCAUGCCGCGUGUAUGAAGAAGGCCUUCGGGUUGUAAAGUACUUUCAGCGGGGAGGAAGGUGUUGUGGUUAAUAACCGCAGCAAUUGACGUUACCCGCAGAAGAAGCACCGGCUAACUCCGUGCCAGCAGCCGCGGUAAUACGGAGGGUGCAAGCGUUAAUCGGAAUUACUGGGCGUAAAGCGCACGCAGGCGGUCUGUCAAGUCGGAUGUGAAAUCCCCGGGCUCAACCUGGGAACUGCAUUCGAAACUGGCAGGCUUGAGUCUUGUAGAGGGGGGUAGAAUUCCAGGUGUAGCGGUGAAAUGCGUAGAGAUCUGGAGGAAUACCGGUGGCGAAGGCGGCCCCCUGGACAAAGACUGACGCUCAGGUGCGAAAGCGUGGGGAGCAAACAGGAUUAGAUACCCUGGUAGUCCACGCCGUAAACGAUGUCUACUUGGAGGUUGUGCCCUUGAGGCGUGGCUUCCGGAGCUAACGCGUUAAGUAGACCGCCUGGGGAGUACGGCCGCAAGGUUAAAACUCAAAUGAAUUGACGGGGGCCCGCACAAGCGGUGGAGCAUGUGGUUUAAUUCGAUGCAACGCGAAGAACCUUACCUGGUCUUGACAUCCACGGAAGUUUUCAGAGAUGAGAAUGUGCCUUCGGGAACCGUGAGACAGGUGCUGCAUGGCUGUCGUCAGCUCGUGUUGUGAAAUGUUGGGUUAAGUCCCGCAACGAGCGCAACCCUUAUCCUUUGUUGCCAGCGGUCCGGCCGGGAACUCAAAGGAGACUGCCAGUGAUAAACUGGAGGAAGGUGGGGAUGACGUCAAGUCAUCAUGGCCCUUACGACCAGGGCUACACACGUGCUACAAUGGCGCAUACAAAGAGAAGCGACCUCGCGAGAGCAAGCGGACCUCAUAAAGUGCGUCGUAGUCCGGAUUGGAGUCUGCAACUCGACUCCAUGAAGUCGGAAUCGCUAGUAAUCGUGGAUCAGAAUGCCACGGUGAAUACGUUCCCGGGCCUUGUACACACCGCCCGUCACACCAUGGGAGUGGGUUGCAAAAGAAGUAGGUAGCUUAACCUUCGGGAGGGCGCUUACCACUUUGUGAUUCAUGACUGGGGUGAAGUCGUAACAAGGUAACCGUAGGGGAACCUGC